rnacentral:rRNA from 1 species
CCGUGCCAGCAGCCGCGGUAAUACGGAGGGGGUUAGCGUUGUUCGGAAUUACUGGGCGUAAAGCGCACGUAGGCGGAUUAGAAAGUUGGGGGUGAAAUCCCGGGGCUCAACCCCGGAACUGCCUCCAAAACUGCUAGUCUAGAGUUCGAGAGAGGUGAGUGGAAUUCCGAGUGUAGAGGUGAAAUUCGUAGAUAUUCGGAGGAACACCAGUGGCGAAGGCGGCUCACUGGCUCGAUACUGACGCUGAGGUGCGAAAGUGUGGGGAGCAAACAGGAUUAGAUACCCUGGUAGUCCACACCGUAAACGAUGAAUGCCAGUCGUCGGGUAGUAUACUAUUCGGUGACACACCUAACGGAUUAAGCAUUCCGCCUGGGGAGUACGGUCGCAAGAUUAAAACUCAAAU